GACGAACGCUGGCGGCGUGCUUAACACAUGCAAGUCGAACGAUGAAGCCGGAGCUUGCUCUGGUGAAUUAGUGGCGAACGGGUGAGUAACACGUGAGUAACCUGCCCUUGACUCUGGGAUAACUGCUAUAAAUGGUAGCUAAUACCGGAUACGACCCUCGGAGGCAUCUCCAGGGGGUGGAAAGAAUUUCGGUCAAGGAUGGACUCGCGGCCUAUCAGCUAGUUGGUGAGGUAACGGCUCACCAAGGCGACGACGGGUAGCCGGCCUGAGAGGGUGAGCGGCCACACUGAGACUGAGACACGGCCCAGACUCCUGCGGGAGGCAGCAGUGGGGAAUAUUGCACAAUGGGCGCAAGCCUGAUGCAGCAACGCCGCGUGAGGGAUGACGGCCUUCGGGUUGUAAACCUCUUUUGUCAGGGAAGAAACACCGGCUCUAACACAGUCCGGGAAUGACGGUACCUGAAGAAUAAGCACCGGCUAAC
rnacentral:rRNA from 1 species